UAGCAACACAAAGUGAAACUGCGAAUGGCUCAUUAUAUAAGUUAUCGUUUAUUUGAUAUUGCCUAUCCUACAUGGAUAACAGUGGUAAUUCUAGAGCUAAUACAUGCUGAAAAUCCCGACUUCGGAAGGGACGUAUUUAUUAGAAUCAGAACCAAUGCCCUUCGGGGUUUUCUGGUGACUCAUGAUAACUCCACAGAUCGCAUGGCCUUGCGCCGGCGAUGGCUCAUUCAAAUUUCUUCCCUAUCAACUUUCGACGGUACGGUCUUGGCCUACCGUGGUUGUAACGGGUGACGGAGGGUUAGGGCUCGACCCCGGAGAAGGAGCCUGAGAAACGGCUACUACAUCCAAGGAAGGCAGCAGGCGCGCAAAUUAUCCAAUCCCGACUCGGGGAGAUAGUGACAAUAAAUACCGAUACAGGGCUCUUUUGGGCCCUGUAAUUGGAAUGAGUACAAUUUAAACCUCUUAACGAGGAACAAUUGGAGGGCAAGUCUGGUGCCAGCAGCCGCGGUAAUUCCAGCUCCAAUAGCGUAUAUUAAAGUUGUUGUGGUUAAAAAGCUCGUAGUCGAACCUCGAGCCUGGCCGGCCGGUCCGCCUCACCGCGUGCACUGGUCUGGCCGGGCUCUUCCCUCUGCGGAACCGCAUGUCCUUCACUGGGCGUGUCGGGGAGGCAGGACUUUUACUUUGAAAAAAUUAGAGUGCUCAAGGCAGGCCAAUGCUCGAAUACAUUAGCAUGGAAUAAUAGAAUAGGACGUUGGUUCUAUUUUGUUGGUUUCUAGGACCGCCGUAAUGAUCAAUAGGGACGGUCGGGGGCAUCAGUAUUCAGCCGUCAGAGGUGAAAUUCUUGGACCGGCUGAAGACUAACUACUGCGAAAGCAUUUGCCAAGGACGUUUUCGCUGAUCAGGAACGAAAGUUAGGGGAUCGAAGACGAUCAGAUACCGUCGUAGUCUUAACCAUAAACUAUGCCGACUAGGGAUCGGGCGGCGUUCUUUCUAGACCCGCUCGGCACCUUUCGAGAAAUCAAAGUGCU
rnacentral:rRNA from 1 species